AUUGAACGCUGGCGGCAGGCCUAACACAUGCAAGUCGAACGGUAACAGGUCUUCGGAUGCUGACGAGUGGCGAACGGGUGAUUAAUACAUCGGAACGUGCCUAGUAGUGGGGGAUAACUACUCGAAAGAGUGGCUAAUACCGCAUGAGAUCUACGGAUGAAAGCAGGGGAUCGCAAGACCUUGUGCUACUAGAGCGGCAGAUGGCAGAUUAGGUAGUUGGUGGGAUAAAAGCUUACCAAGCCGACGAUCUGUAGCUGGUCUGAGAGGACGAUCAGCCACACUGGGACUGAGGCACGGCCCAGACUCCUACGGGAGGCAGCAGUGGGGAAUUUUGGACAAUGGGCGCAAGCCUGAUCCAGCAAUGCCGCGUGCAGGAUGAAGGCCUUCGGGUUGUAACUGCUUUUGUACGGAACGAAAAGCCCUGGGUUAAUACCCUGGGGUCAUGACGGUACCGUAAGAAUAAGCACCGGCUAACUACGUGCCAGCCGCCGCCGUAAAAC
rnacentral:rRNA from 1 species